GACAGCAUCCAUUGGAACUGGAUAAAAACGGAUUCAGACAAUUGAGAGAUAUGUAAUAUUUUAUUAUAUUUUAUUUAAUGUUUUAUUAAGUCGUAAUUUGCUCUGAAUGUGUAGAAAAAAACUUUAUUCAGCAAACUUUAUAUAAGUAGCAGCAGCUAAAAGACAAGAACAAGUUAACUAGUGUAGCAGCAGCCUGCAAAGCAAGUUAGUUUUAACCUCAGUUGCUUUUUUGUUGUUAUUAAUGAGAUAAAUUGAAGAUGAAACGGGUCUAGACUGAAGACUGAGGUUAUUUUGCUGAUGUGUGUGUUCAAUAUCUAAAGCUGAUGUCAUAUUUUUUCACUAAGCAGUGGAAGAAAUGUGACAGUCGUGUCAACAACAAACGGGCUUAUUUGCAGUUCUGGGGAAAUAAAUCAGGACACCAUGCAGUUUGAAAUACAACCAAAAUACUAAAUGAUCUUAAAGAAAAACAUUGAACUCUACAUUGAUUGGUUAUACAUUCUUAACAUAUUUAAGGUUGUUUCAGCACUUUUUUCCAGCGCUGUAUUUGCUCUGUGUUUUAAAUGCUGUUUAGAGACUUUUUUCUCUUAGAGAUUAAGGACUAGGCUUCAUUUUCACAGCUCACAUAUUUUAGACAAUAGGCAGACCAACCUGCAUUCAAAUGCCACAAAUGUUAGAGAUCCAAUGUGUUGAUUGUGCUAUUAAGUGUAAAAAGAACAUAAUUAUACAGAUUGUUGACACGUCCUUGUUUUCUAAACGUUUUUAAUGAAGUCAAAGUUGUUAUUUAAGGCGUCCCAGAGCCCCAGAAACACCUUAAAUUUGUACACUGAUUUAAACUCAAUUCAAUGAUUCCUCUUGAUAUUGUAGUUCUAGCUGCACGAAGUGAGUUGACUGACUGGUUGAUUGAAUGAUUGAUUGGUUGCAUGAUUGAGUGAUUGAAUUACAUUUCCUCCAGAGAUAUUAAGAGAAGAUGAAGAGAAGCAAAGAUCUUCAGAGCUUCUUCAGCUUCUACCAGCAGCAGCACAAAGGUCCACACAAGCCAGCAGCCUGGUGAUGAAGAUGAUGAGCCGUCCACUCCCCCAAUACAGGAUGUUGACCAGCAACACUUAGAGGAGGAAACUGGUUGUGAACCAACAUUGUCUGGAGCUCCACCUACUAAGCAGGCGACACUGAUGACAGAGAUCCUCCUAAUGUUGUACCUGCUGCUCCACCUGGACCUUACGGCUGCAGAGUCUGCUGAUAUAAACAUGCAUCAUGCAUUCAUGUUUUUCCUGAUAAACUGUGUAAAAUAAUGUGCACUACAUGUGGCAUCCCUGCUACUUCACACUUUGAGCUUGUUAAAUGUUUGAAGCUAAAUAUUUCUAGGAUAAAAGACAUCAUCUGGCAGAUUAGCUCAGAUUGCUUCAAAACUCUUCCAUGAUGAAGAGCAUUAGUGAAAACGAAGACUGGUCAUAGUUGGAAAGUGUUUUAGCUGUGAUCAAAUAGCUCCGUCUGUUAGAGGAUCUCCUGUAGUCUGUAGGGUCGGUUCUCUGAAGGUUCCUGAGGACCAACAAGCUGACAAGGAAAUGGAUCCAUAAAAAGUUUGAGACACAAGAGUGUCGACCUGUUGUUGGAGAUGAUGAUCUCAGAGUGGAAAGUUUGAACCAUGUUUCAUGUAUCAUGUGUGACCUGGUAGAUCAAGGUGUUGGUUAGUAUGAACUGCAUGGGCUUCAUCUAAAACCAACUGUGUCAGGGUUUAAACGCAGCAAACUGGAGGAAGGACAGACAGGGUAUGAAACACAGAAAACAUCUGAUUCAUGGAGACACUGAUCAAGAAUGAUCAUAUCUGUGCAGCGUCCCAACUCAGUUACCUUCUGCCACAACUAAUCUGUCCACUAGAGGGAGCACAGAUACUUCCACAGGUUCUGCUUCAAACGUAAAGAUGAAAUAACUGCAUUCAGUGUUAUUUGACUACUUUGUUAAAUCUUUGAAAAAAUAAAUGUCUGUUUUUA